UCCCCAUGGCUCCAGAAAUCAAGGGUGGGUAAGACCUCGUAAAGCAAAAUUUAAGGCGACCCAUACUUGGUUUCAGGGGCUGUGUGGU
rnacentral:pre_miRNA from 12 species